GACCUAAUGGUGCAACGGUUAGCACAUCUGCUCGAAAUAGUCGAUCGGAGGAUGUAUUUAGGCAGAAGAUCCUCGUUCGAUUCGGGGUGGGUCA